rnacentral:rRNA from 1 species
UCGAGCGAAUGGAUUAAGAGCUUGCUCUUAUGAAGUUAGCGGCGGACGGGUGAGUAACACGUGGGUAACCUGCCCAUAAGACUGGGAUAACUCCGGGAAACCGGGGCUAAUACCGGAUAACAUUUUGAACCGCAUGGUUCGAAAUUGAAAGGCGGCUUCGGCUGUCACUUAUGGAUGGACCCGCGUCGCAUUAGCUAGUUGGUGAGGUAACGGCUCACCAAGGCAACGAUGCGUAGCCGACCUGAGAGGGUGAUCGGCCACACUGGGACUGAGACACGGCCCAGACUCCUACGGGAGGCAGCAGUAGGGAAUCUUCCGCAAUGGACGAAAGUCUGACGGAGCAACGCCGCGUGAGUGAUGAAGGCUUUCGGGUCGUAAAACUCUGUUGUUAGGGAAGAACAAGUGCUAGUUGAAUAAGCUGGCACCUUGACGGUACCUAACCAGAAAGCCACGGCUAACUACGUGCCAGCAGCCGCGGUAAUACGUAGGUGGCAAGCGUUAUCCGGAAUUAUUGGGCGUAAAGCGCGCGCAGGUGGUUUCUUAAGUCUGAUGUGAAAGCCCACGGCUCAACCGUGGAGGGUCAUUGGAAACUGGGAGACUUGAGUGCAGAAGAGGAGAGUGGAAUUCCAUGUGUAGCGGUGAAAUGCGUAGAGAUAUGGAGGAACACCAGUGGCGAAGGCGACUUUCUGGUCUGUAACUGACACUGAGGCGCGAAAGCGUGGGGAGCAAAACAGGAUUAGAU